rnacentral:rRNA from 1 species
AGACGUCUACAUUAGAUACCCGUGUAGUCCCAGCCGUAAACUAUGCGCGUUAGGUGUACUGGUGACCACGAGUCACCGGGGUGCCGAAGGGAAACCGUGAAACGUGCCGCCUGGGAAGUACGGUCGCAAGGCUGAAACUUAAAGGAAUUGGCGGGGAGCACCACAACAGGUGGAGCCUGCGGUUUAAUUGGACUCAACGCCGGGAAGCUCACCGGAUAGGACAGCAGAAUGAUUGCCGGGCUGAAGACCCUGCAUGACUAGCUG